rnacentral:rRNA from 1 species
GGCGACCGGCGGCACGGGUGAGUAACACGGUAUCCGAACCUGCCGCUUACUCGGGGAUAGCCUUUCGAAAGAAAGAUUAAUACCCGAUGGUAUAAAGAGUUCGCAUGUUCUCUUAUUAAAGAAUUUCGGUAAGCGAUGGGAUGCGUUCCAUUAGAUAGUGCGGGUAACGGCCACCAAGUCUACGAUGGAUAGGGGUUCUGAGAGGAAGGUCCCCCACAUUGGAACUGAGACACGGUCCAAACUCCUACGGGAGGCAGCAGUGAGGAAUAUUGGUCAAUGGACGAGAGUCUGAACCAGCCAAGUAAGCGUGAAGGAUGACUGCCCUAUGGGUUGUAAACUUCUUUUAUAAGGGAAUAAAGUGAGGGACGUGUCCCUUUUUGUAUGUACCUUAUGAAUAAGGAUCGGCUAACUCCGUGCCAGCCGCAGC